GAAAAGGGGAUGGUGGGGCAUAAAGAAGAGUAGAAGAAGAAGGUGUGAAAUGCUGAGAAAAAAAUGAUGCGGUGUUGCCCGUCCGCCCCCGCCAUUUUCAUGACAAGCAGAUCUGAUGCCCAUUGUUGCGUCGAGCACUAAAGGGCCGG